rnacentral:rRNA from 1 species
UAGGGAAUCUUCCGCAAUGGACGCAAGUCUGACGGAGCAACGCCGCGUGAGUGAAGAAGGAUUUCGGUUCGUAAAACUCUGUUGUUAGAGAAGAACAGCGCAUAGAGUAACUGUUAUGCGUGUGACGGUAUCUAACCAGAAAGCCACGGCUAACUACGUGCCAGCAGCCGCGGUAAUACGUAGGUGGCAAGCGUUGUCCGGAUUUAUUGGGCGUAAAGCGAGCGCAGGCGGUCAAUUAAGUCUGAUGUGAAAGCCCCGGGCUCAACCGGGGAGGGUCAUUGGAAACUGGUUGACUUGAGUGCAGAAGAGGAGAGUGGAAUUCCAUGUGUAGCGGUGAAAUGCGUAGAUAUAUGGAGGAACACCAGUGGCGAAGGCGACUCUCUGGUCUGUAACUGACGCUGAGGCUCGAAAGCGUGGGUAGCAAACAGG